rnacentral:rRNA from 1 species
GUGGGGAAUAUUGCACAAUGGGCGCAAGCCUGAUGCAGCAACGCCGCGUGAGGGAAGACGGUUUUCGGAUUGUAAACCUCUGUUCUUAGUGACGAAGAAGUGACGGUAGCUAAGGAGCAAGCCACGGCUAACUACGUGCCAGCAGCCGCGGUAAUACGUAGGUGGCAAGCGUUAUCCGGAAUUACUGGGUGUAAAGGGAGCGCAGGCGGGGUAGCAAGUCAGCGGUGAAAAUUAUGGGCUUAACCCAUAAACUGCCGUUGAAACUGUUACUCUUGAGUGGAGUAGAGGCAGGCGGAAUUCCGAGUGUAGCGGUGAAAUGCGUAGAUAUUCGGAGGAACACCAGUGGCGAAGGCGGCCUGCUGGGCUCUAACUGACGCUGAGGCUCGAAAGUGUGGGGAGCAAACAGG